rnacentral:rRNA from 1 species
GAUUAUCCUACUCGGAUAACUGUGGCAAUUCUAGAGCUAAUACGCGCAAUAAGGCUCGGACCUUACGGGACGAGCGCAUUUAUUAGACCAAAACCAAUCGGGCUUCGGCCUGAGCUGUGGUGACUCUGAAUAACUAAGCUGAUCGCAUGGUCUUAGUACCGGCGACGCAUCUUUCAAGUGUCUGCCUUAUCAACUUUCGAUGGUAGUUUAUGUGCCUACCAUGGUUGUAACGGGUAACGGAGAAUAAGGGUUCGACUCCGGAGAGGGAGCCUGAGAAAACGGCUACCACAUCCAAGGAAGGCAGCAGGCGCGCAAAUUACCCACUCUGGGCACGAGGAGGUAGUGACGAAAAAUAACGACCCUAAAUGUUUGAGGCCCGCCAUCGGAAUGNGUACAAUU